rfam:Phalacrocorax carbo contig7102, whole genome shotgun sequence.
GAGUGUGCCAGGGUCAAGUCUGUACUGAUUUUCAUGGUGAAUAGAUUACAUGCUUGCAUUCAUGUUCACUUCCGAAGCGCUUAUUGUUUUGAUUCG